AGGACUAACGCUGGCGGCGUGCCUAACACAUGCAAGUCGAACGAGGUAGCAAUACCUAGUGGCAGACGGGUGAGUAACACGUGGUCAACCUGCCUUCGCGUGGGGGAUAACUAGUCGAAAGGUUAGCUAAUACCGCAUACGAUCGUUUCGGGGCAUCCCGAGACGAUGAAAGGAGCAAUCCGCACGAAGAGGGGACUGCGUCCCAUUAGUUAGUUGGUGGGGUAAUGGCCUACCAAGACUCCGAUGGGUAGCUGGCUUGAGAGAGCGACCAGCCACACUGGAACUGAGACACGGUCCAGACUCCUACGGGAGGCAGCAGUGAGGAAUUUUCCGCAAUGGGCGAAAGCCUGACGGAGCGACGCCGCGUGUGGGAAGAAGGCCUUCGGGUCGUAAACCACUGUCGAAGGGGACGAUAUUGACGGUACCCUUGGAGGAAGCCCCGGCUAACUACGUGCCACAGCCGC
rnacentral:rRNA from 1 species